GCGGUGGAGCAUGUGGUUUAAUUCGAAGCAACGCGAAGAACCUUACCAGGUCUUGACAUCCCGAUGCUAUUUCUAGAGAUAGAAAGUUACUUCGGUACAUCGGUGACAGGUGGUGCAUGGUGUCGUCAGCUCGUGUCGUGAGAUGUUGGGUUAAGUCCCGCAACGAGCGCAACCCCUAUUGUUAGUUGCCAUCAUUCAGUUGGGCACUCUAGCGAGACUGCCGGUAAUAAACCGGAGGAAGGUGGGGAUGACGUCAAAUCAUCAUGCCCCUUAUGACCUGGGCUACACACGUGCUACAAUGGUUGGUACAACGAGUUGCGAGUCGGUGACGGCGAGCUAAUCUCUUAAAGCCAAUCUCAGUUCGGAUUGUAGGCCGCAACUCGCCUACAUGAAGUCGGAAUCGCUAGUAAUCGCGGAUCAGCACGCCGCGGUGAAUACGUUCCCGGGCCUU
rnacentral:rRNA from 1 species